UAGGUAGGGUGCAAGCGUUAAUCGGAAUUACUGGGCGUAAAGCGUGCGCAGGCGGUUUUGUAAGUCUGACGUGAAAUCCCCGGGCUCAACCUGGGAAUUGCGAUGGAGACUGCAAGGCUUGAAUCUGGCAGAGGGGGGUAGAAUUCCACGUGUAGCAGUGAAAUGCGUAGAGAUGUGGAGGAACACCGAUGGCGAAGGCAGCCCCCUGGGUCAAGAUUGACGCUCAUGCACGAUAGCGUGGGGAGCAAACAGG
rnacentral:rRNA from 1 species